CCUACGGGGGGCUGCAGUGAGGAAUAUUGCGCAAUGGGGGAAACCCUGACGCAGCGACGCCGCGUGGAUGAUGAAGGCCUUCGGGUCGUAAAAUCCUGUCAGGUGGAAAGAAAUGCAUGGUGGCUAAUAUCCAUCAUGUUUGACGGUACCACCGAAGGAAGCACCGGCUAACUCCGUGCCAGCAGCCGCGGUAAUACGGAGGGAGCAAGCGUUGUUCGGAAUUACUGGGGCUAACGCGCGCGUAGGAUGUGAAAGCCCAUGGCUCAAUCAUGGACGUGCAUUUGAAACUGGCAGGCGUGAGUAGUGGAGGGGGUGGUGGAAUUCCCGGUGUAGAGGUGAAAUUCGUAGAUAUCGGGAGGAAUACCGGUGGCGAAGGCGACCACCUGGCCACAUACUGACGCUGAGGCGCGAAAGCGUGGGGAGCAAACAGGAUUAGAUACCCUAGUAGUC
rnacentral:rRNA from 1 species